UUCCGGUUGAUCCUGCCGGAGGCCACUGCUAUUGGGAUCCGACUAAGCCAUGCGAGUCGAGAGGGUUCGGCCCUCGGCAGACCGCUCAGUAACACGUGGAUAAUCUACCCUUAGGUGGAGGAUAACCUCGGGAAACUGAGAAUAAUACUCCAUAGGUCUAGGAUGCUGGAAUGCACCUAGAUUGAAAGCUCCGGCGUCUAAGGAUGAGUCUGCGGACUAUCAGGUAGUAGUCAGGAUAAAGACCUGACUAGCCUACGACGGAUACGGGUUGUGAGAGCAAUAGCCCGGAGACGAUAUCUGAGACACGAUAUCGGGCCCUACGGGGCGCAGCAGGCGCGAAAUCUUCACAAUGUGCGAAAGCACGAUGAGCGGAUCCCAAGUGCUGGUUCGUAAGAGUCAGCUGUUUCUCUGUCUAAAAAACAGAGAGAGUAAGAGCUGGGUAAGACGGGUGCCAGCCGCCGCGGUAAUACCUGCAGCUCAAGUGGUGGCCGCUAUUAUUGGGCCUAAAACGUCCGUAGCCGGUUUAGUAAAUGCCUGGGUAAAUUGUGUAGCUUAACUAUACGAAUACCGGGUAGACUGCUAAACUUGGGACCGGGAGAGGCUAGAGGUACUCCUGGGGUAGAGGUGAAAUUCUGUAAUCCUAGGGGGACCACCAGUGGCGAAGGCGUCUAGCCAGAACGGGUCCGACGGUGAGGGACGAAGCCCUGGGGCGCAAACCGGAUUAGAUACCCGGGUAGUCCAGGGUGUAAACGCUGCUCGCUUGAUGUUAGUCGAGCUCCGAGCUCAACUAGUGUCGGAGAGAAGUUGUUAAGCGAGCUGCCUGGGAAUUACGGUCGCAAGACUGAAACUUAAAGGAAUUGGCGGGGG
rnacentral:rRNA from 1 species